rnacentral:lncRNA from 10 species
AAUUUGUGUCCUAUGCCUGUCCCAUCAGUGUACUUUGGGAGCAGAUAAUUUGUGAGCCACCGCGCCCAGCCCAUUAGCUCCUACGUUUAACUCACUGUUGGUGAUCUUCCACUUCCUCCUACUGUUACCUUUGCAAGGAGUGUUUUGUUGUUGUUGUUGUUGUUUUUGACUUGGCAGGUGACAGUCCAAUGGCUACAACCAAGGAGUAUUUAACAAAGAAAAUUGAUUACUUGGAACAAGUAAACAGGACAGCUGGAAUAAAUCCCCACAUCAAUGCCUCCCUGAACAGGUGAAAACUGGCCUUUCAUUAGGUUUGUUAGCUGAGUCAUUGUAUCUAGAGGUGGGGUCAAAGCAGCACAGAUGCCGUCAUCAGUUGUUCCUCUAUAUAAGCCACAGGUGUGGAUAAUAGUGACUAAGCUCUUCCCUGGGUGGGGCUUUUAGUGUGGUAAUGAGGAGAGCUUGCCAAAGUUCAUCUUCAAUUCAGGCAUCUUUGGAUCCAACUAGUUUUUAUUUUAUUUAUUCAGGGCUGAGAUUCUUCCUGUAACUUUUCUAAAACAUCAAGAACUGGAGGUGCAACAGUUACAAGUCAAAAUUUUACAAACAAGAGAGACUCAGCCUAAAUUUCUAAUUGAAUGUCUUUCAAAGAUUAUCUAGAGCCUUAUGGAAGAUGUUUUUGACUAUUGAGUGCCACUAUGGAUAUAAAAGACCAAUAAGGUGUUAGAUUUAUGACAGCCAUGAAUGCUACAGGAGACAAAUAAAGUUAACCCAAUAAGCUUUAAACUUUAAUCUCUUUUAUGAUGAAGAAGAGGAAGAGGAAGAAGAAGAAGAAAAAAAGGAGAAGAAGAAGGAGAAGAAGAAGGAGGAGGAGGAGGAGAAGGAGAAGGAGGGAAGUAGGAGGAGGAGGAAGGGGAAGGGGAAGGAGAAGGACAAGGGGGAGGAGAAGGAGAAGGAGGAGGAGGAGAAGGAGGAGGAGGAGAAGGAGAGGAGGAGGAGGAGGAAGAAGAAGAAGAAGGAAAAGGAGAAGGAUGACUAUGUUAGUCUAUUCUCACACUGUCACACUGCUCUAAAGAUAUUACCCAAGACUGGGCAAUUUAUAAAAGAAAGAAGUUUAGUUGACUUACAGUCCCACAUGGUUUGGGAGGCCCCAGAAAAUUUACAAACGUGGCACAUCUUACAUGGCAGCAGGAGAGAGUGAGAGUGUAAUGGGAACAGCCUCUUAUAAACACAUCAGAUUUCAUGAGUACUCACUCACUAUCAUAAGAACAGCAUAGGAGAAACCACUCCCAUGGUCCAAGUACUUUCCACCAGGUCCCUCCCUCAGCAACUGAGGAUUACAAUUCAGAUUACAAUUACAGAUGAGAUUUGGGUGGGAACACAGAGCCAAGCCAUAUCAUUCUGCCUCUGGCCUCUCCCAAAUCUCAUGUCCUCACAUUUCAAAACACAAUUAAGCCUUCCCAACAGUACCCCAAAGUGUCUUAAUUCAUUUCAGCAUUAACUCAAAAGUCCAGGUCUAAGGUCUCAUCUGACACAAAUCUCUUCCACCUAUGAGCCUGUAAAAUAAAAAUAAAAAAAAAAACAAGUCAGUUACAUCCAAGAUAUGAUGGGGAUACAGGCCUUGGAUAAAUGCUUCCAUUCCAAAUGGGAUACAGUGGUCAAAACAAAGGGCUACAGGCUCCAUGCAGCCUGAAAGCCGGAAGGGCAGUCAUUACAUUGUAAAGCUCAAAAAUAAUCUCUUUUGACUUCAUGUCUCACAUCCAGGGUGUGCUGAUGGAAAUGAUGGGCUUCCACAGCCUUCCGCAGCUCCGCCCCUGUGGCUUGCAGGGUUCAGCCCCUGCAGCUGCUUUCAUGGGCUGACAUUGACUGCCUGCAGCUUUUCCAGGCACAUGGUGAAAGCUGUCAGUGAAUCUACCAUUCUGGGGUCUGGAGGACAGUGGCCCUCUUCUCACAGCUGCACUAGGAAAUGCCCCAGUGGGGACUCUGUGUGGGGGCUCUAACCCCACAUUUCCCUUCCACACUGCCUUAGCAGAGGUUCUCAAUUAGGGCUCAACCCCUGAAGCAAACCCUUACCUGAACAUCCAGGCGUUUCCAUACAUCCUCUGAAAUCUAGGCAAAGGAUCCCUAACCUCAAUUCUUGACUUCUGUGCAUCCACAGGCUCAACACCACAUGAAAGCCACCAAGGCUUGGUUCUUGCAACCUCUGAAGCAAUGGCCUGAGAUGUACCUUGGCCUCUUUUAGCCAUGGCUGGAGCUGGAGUGGCUGGAAUGCAGGGCACCACGUCCUGAGGCUGCGCACAGCAGCGGGGAUCUGGGCUUGGCCCAUGACACCAUUUUUUCCCUUCUAGGCCUCCAGGGUCACCAGCUUCAAGGCAACCAGUGAGCGCUUGUCCUCCCCUGCACACAUAAUGACUUUUGGCACGUAAGUGGAAGGAACUUGCCCUGUCUUGGAUGAGACUUUGGACUGUGGACUUCUGAGUUAAUGCUGAAAUGUGUUAAGACUUUGGGAGACUCUUGGGAAGGCAUGAUUUGUUUUGAAAUGUGAAGACAUUAGAUUUGGGAGGAGCCAUGGGUGGAAUAAUACGAUUUGGCUGUUCCUCCCAAAUCUCACCUUGAAUUCUGACAUGUUGUGGGAGGGACCUGGUGGGAGGUGAUUUAAUCAUGAGGCAGGUCUUUCCCAUGCUGGUCUCAUGAUAGUGAAUAAGUCUUACGAGACUGAUGAUGGUUUUAAAAUGGGGAGUUUCCCUGCACAAGCUCUAUUCUCUUGUCUGCCGCCAUGUCAGACAGGCCUUUUACCUUCUGCCAUGAGUAAGAGGCCUCCCCAGCCACGUUGAAUUGUAAGUCUGAUAAACCUCUUUCUUUUGUAAAUUGCCCAGUCUCAGGUAUAUUUUUAUCAGCAGCAUGAAAACAGACUAAUACAGUCACCCUCAUAAGUUAGCAAAUUACUUAGCUGCCUCAUCUUCAUGCCCUGGGGAUCUGUGGAAGCUUUACCUUAAGAGUGAUGACUUAGGGUAUCUAGUGUAAGAAAUUUCUAAGCAGCACAGAAUUCAAGGUGUGGCCUGGCUUCUUCAAACCAGCAUACUCUCAGAUGCAGGAAUGAAUAAAUUACUUAAAAUUGGAAGUUAUAUUAAUAUUAAUAUUUACCAGGGAGGCAGAGGGUGAAAGUUUGGAAAAUUUACAGCCUAGUCCUGUGGCAAAGAAAAGAGAAACUUUUUAGGAGAGGGAUCCAAGCAGUCUACAGAACAACCACUUGUUAAAGAGAUUUGCAUGUGUAAAAGGGAGCAACUGCUUAUAGCCAAGACAAUGGGAAAAAGUCUGGAAGGCAUUUCAGAGAUCUAAUAGGCAGCACCUCUCAUCACAGGCCCAGAGGCCUAGGAAGACUAAAUGGUUUCAGGGGAGAGGCCCAGGGCCCCACUGCCCUGCUCAGCCUUAGGACAUACUCCCCCGAUCCUGAUUGCUCCAGCCACAACUCAAAGGGGCCCCAGGACAACUCAAGUCACUAUUCCAGAGGAUGCAAGCUGUAAGCAUUGAUGGCUUCCAUGUGGAGUUAAGCCUGGGAACAUCCAAAGUGCAAGAGUGAAGGAGGCUUGGCAGUCUCUGCCUAGAUUUCAGAGAAUGUAAGAGAACACCUGGCUGCUCAUGAAGAAGCCUUCUACUGGGGUGAAACUCUCACAGAGUACCUCUACUAGGUCAGUGCCAAGGGGAAAUGUAGGGUUAGAGUUUCCACACAGAAACUCUACUGGGGCAUUGGAUUCCUAAUGGCUCAGUCCUGUCCUCAAGAUAGUGAGUUCUCAUGAGAUCUGGUUGAUUAAAAGUGUGUGACACCUCUCCCCCUGACUACUGGUCUUACCAUGUGAUAUGACUGUUCCUGCUUCACCUUCAACAAUGAGUAAAAGCUCCCUGAGUCCUCCCAGAAGCCAAGCAGGUGCCAGUGCCACAUUUCCUGUAUAGCCUACAGAACUGUGAGUCAAUUAAGCCUAUUUUCUUUAUAAAUAUCCCAGUCUCAGGUACUUCCUUAUAGCAAUGUAAGAACAACCUAACAUACCACACUGGUAAUUUUCAGUUUAUUCAACAGUGUUUUUCUUUAAUACUAAUAUCUGUAUCAGAAAUAUGUCAUAAUCAUCUAAAUUGUAUGCUAAUAAAAUUAACAUUUAUUUUUACUUUGCAUUUGUUUUCAUGCACUUAUUAUCAAUAACUAGAAAAAGACAUUUACAAUAAACAGUUUGGGUGUAGUAUUAGAAGUCUAAUCAUUCAAUAAUUCUUAAAGAUAUUUAGAAGUCUGCUUCAUUGUUACUGAAGAUAUCACUAAAACUGUAUUAUUGUUGGCCAAACAUGGCUGAAAGUCCAAAAAGAGUAGAUCAUUUGUUGUGCUUUUGAAAGAAAUUGAAUGUGACAUUUUGCUGGACUAUAAUAAUACUCAUAAUAAAAAAAUACAUUAGCUGUGUUCUAUACAUACAUUAUUAAUUAUCUGUUGAUAGUCAAUAAUAUUCUAUAUAAUGUUAACUAUAGUUUUAUUUACCAGUUCAAUAAAGAACAACCUCUUUUACUAUACUGUUAAUUAUAGUCUCUAUAAUGUUAGCUAUAUUUUAUUUACCAUUUUCUACACUUAAGUUACACUGAAGUAAAAGUCUUAUUGCAUUUUUAUUUUUAUUUUUUAAUUUAUUUAAUUAAUUUUUUUGGGAGACAGAAUCUCACUUCAUCAUCUGUGCUGGAGUGCAGUGGUGCAAUCUUGGCUCACUGCAACCUCUGCCUCCUUGGUUCAAGUGAUUCUCGAGCCUCAGCCUCCCAAGUAACUGGGAUUACAGGCAUGCGCCACUAAGCCCAGCUAAUUUUUGUAUUUUUAGUAGAGAUGGCUUCCCCGCAUUGGCUGGGCUGGUCUUGAACUCCUGGCCUCAAGUGAUCCAUCCUCCUCGGCCACCCAAAGCACUGGAAUUACAGGCAUGAGCCUCUGCACCUGGCUGCAUUUUUUUUAUUUUCAGCUUUCAUUCAUCAGGAUAUAGGAAGUGAUAUCUGUUUUAUAGGGAUAAUACCACAUCAGCUGAAGAGCUACUUAUUACAGAAAAAAUGAUUGUACCUUUUCAAAACUUAAAGAAAUUUGUAGUCAACAUUUUGAAGGAAGGUCAGCAUGACAUUAAAUAACAAAAUUUGUAGUUUCAUUGAUUUGUUUAUUUUUAUUUAAUUGAAUGAUUUACAUGUUGUUUAGAUGCUAAACAGAUAAAGUUUAAGAUCUUAUAUUUAAUUUGAAAUAGAAUGCAUUGUGUAAUUUCAUUGUAAACCUGGAAUUUAUAAAUCAUAGCUCCUAUGUUUUUAAAAUAAUUUAUUUACUGAUGUUCAAAGGACAGAACUGUACACAAUGUGCUGUGAAAUUUGCUCCAAUAUUUUCUUUCUCAAUUUGAAUAAAGCAAUCUUCUGAAGGUGCUAUGAAAACAUAAUGACUAGUGUUACAUUUUAUAAUAUAGUUUGUAAUUUUGCAUUAGCUCAUAUACUGAAGUUUAAAUGACAAUUAUCAGAGAAUGUAUUAAGUAUACAAUCAUUAUUGGGAUCUAAGUUCUUUUUGCUUGGAUGUUAGGUUAGCAGUCUCCAAAAUUAAUAAAUAUGUCAUUUAUUAGUGCAAGGUGUAUUUUUAUUAAAUUGCUACAGACUUUUGUAUGUUUUGUGUGUUGGUUUUACACAUAAGACUAACUAUUCAAAUGGAUUUUUCUCCAGAACACUUGUAUCACAUAUCCAUUUAUUUCUCUUUAUCAUGUUUUCUGUGGUCAAAGUUUACUUUUUGAGAAGUUUUUGCCUUAUAGACAUAAGAUUAAGGAAGUUUACAACUUGAUGACAAUUGCAUGCUUGCUAAAUUAGUUGCAUAAUUGUUUUGCACAGGAAAUUGUAUGUGCAAAUACUUUGAUUAGAUUCACAUUCUUCUGGCUAAGUUCUCAAAAUAUAUCAUUGAAAAAGACAUUUACAUUUAAAUGUACCCCUGCUACAGCUACA